ensembl:lncRNA
GUUCAAUGCUUUGUGACAGUAAGGGAGUCUUUACGGUUUUUCAAACUAAUUACUGUAAGAAAAGUAAACAAACUCUGCCUCGCAGUCUGCUAACUCUACUGGUUCGGUUUGCCUACAUUGUUAACACCAUUCAGAAUGCAUAAUCCUACAAAGAGUGGAGUUCCUACCUUUUGGGGUGCUGCUGGAGGAAAUGGCAAUCUCAGGACCUAGCCACCCCUGAGGACUUCUUUCAGAACUUGCACCUCUCUUGGUUGAGAAAACAUGCUGAGUAAGGGGAAGCAGGUCCGGUCUGUGGAAGUCAACGCCCAGGUCAUAGAUGAUCUGCACUGCCAGGCCGGUUCCAGACCUGUCCUCAAGGGAGGCUCCAUUGUUUAUGACUAAACUGAGAGGAUAUACAGUAGCCAGAUAAUUAGCCUUUGCUCUAGUGGUGGUUUCCAAAACUAGUUGUCAAAAGUAGAAAAUGUUAAGAUUAACAUCUCACACACGACAACUGGAGAACUAUUGUGUCUUGCUUUACACUAUUGGAGGCAAAGUGGAAUGGCGUUAGAGGUAAAAGAGGAGGAACAUUCCAACGUAUCCUCCCUCUGCCCUCACGUCCAGACCUGCGGCUCUCUAACCGUUUUAUGGCUCUGAGCCCCCUGACAUCACCGGGGCCCUCCGGUGAGGCCUUCCCACUCCACCUCAGCACCCAGCGCAAGCUCCUCUGUAUCUGGUCCUGGGUUAAUGAGCUGGCCAUCCCCUGGAUCAUAACACACCUCACAGGCUCACAGCGACAUUCUUGUCGUCCUCCACUAGUGGUUGUUAUAGGGAGCUCCAUAGUUAGGGAUGUGGUGGUCAUGGAAACAAGUACCCACUGCUUCCCUGGAGCCUGUGUUUGUGACAUAGAUCACCAGGACCAUGCUGUGAUGGAGAAGCAUCCAAAUUCUCACACAGUCAGCGCGGGCUCCCGAUUGGCGCAGUGGUCUAAGGCAGUGCUUGAGGUGCCACUACAGACACCCUGGUUUGAAUCCAGGCUGUAUCACAACUGGCUGUGAUUGGG